UACAGAGGUCCCAAGCGUUGUUCGGAUUCACUGGGCGUAAAGGGUGCGUAGGCGGUCGGGUAAGUCUGACGUGAAAUCUCCGGGCCUAACCCGGAAACUGCGUUGGAUACUAUCCGGCUAGAGGAAUGGAGGGGAGACUGGAAUACUUGGUGUAGCAGUGAAAUGCGUAGAUAUCAAGUGGAACACCAGUGGCGAAGGCGAGUCCCUGGACAACUCCUGACGCUGAGGCACGAAAGCUAGGGGAGCAAACAGG
rnacentral:rRNA from 1 species